GACAACCUGCGAUACGCGUGUUUGGAUGCGACUAUCUUAGAACCGAUAAGAUUCAAAUGGGGGCUGUCUCUUGCUGUGUUGAGCAAGCCUGCUGCCACAGAUUUUUUGCAGGAAGCCUGCAACAGUAAAAUGGUUCCCACCUCAACUUGUUUGGGGUUUUUAAGAUAGCCUUUCACACGGUAACUGCGGGCCCCGU
rnacentral:other from 1 species